UGAAAGUUGGAUGUGUGAUUCUUAUACAUGGAUCCAGAUCACAACCUUCUUACAUGGGGAAUUGAGACAAAUUACUGGGCCCAGCACCUAGCAGAUGUUACUGUCUGUUUUGCCUGGAUCUUGCCUACAGAAGGGAUUGUGACAAAUCAGUGGGCCAAGCAUCCAGGGUAAUUUGUGACAUACUGCUGGACCCAGCACCCAGAUCAUUUGACUCUCCUGCCUUGGUCCUGCCCACAGAGGGCAUUGUGACAUGUGAGUGGGCUCAGCAGCCAGAUGAUGUCACCUUCCUGCCAGGACUCUUCCAACAGAAGGGGCAUUGACCUACUCAGGCUCAGUAUUCAGGUGCUGUCUGAGGUUUGGCUGUCAUGCGUGGAUUCAAGUUGCUGUUGAAAUUGUGAUGUGCAGCUGGGCAUGGUGGCUC
rnacentral:lncRNA from 1 species